UACAGAGGGUGCGAGCGUUGUCCGGAAUUACUGGGCGUAAAGGGCGCGUAGGCGGCUUGGCAAGUCCAUGGUGAAAGCUCAGGGCUCAACUCUGAGUCGGCCACGGAUACUGUUGAGCUGGAGUUCGGGAGAGGUUGGUGGAAUUCCCAGUGUAGAGGUGAAAUUCGUAGAUAUUCGGAAGAACACCAGUGGCGAAGGCGACUUACUGGACACAUAUUGACGCUGAGGUGCGAAAGCGUGGGGAGCAAACAGG
rnacentral:rRNA from 1 species